rnacentral:snRNA from 1 species
CACCGAGCGGCGGGUAGAAU